GUUCAGUUGGCGCCCUAAGAGAACUAUGUGCAAUUGAAGGACUUGGUUUGGCAUUUCAAACUCAGCCUCAACUUUCAGUUAAUCCGGGCCAGAAAAGUGAAAUAUACGCCCAGGUGGAAAUUGAUGGCCAAGUAUUUGGCAAAGGAAUUGGUCCAACGUGGGAUGAUGCUAAAACACAGGCUGCUGAAAGGGCUCUUGUUGCUCUGAAGUCUGAGCUGGCUCAAUUUUCUCACAAGCGCCAGGGUUCUCCAAGAUCAUUGCAGCAGCAGGGAUUUUCUAAUAAAAGAUUGAAACCUGAAUAUUCUCGGGGUGUGCAGCAGAGAGUACCAUUGUCUGGUAGAUUCCCGAAGAAUACUUCCGCUAUGCCAUGAACUAUGUAUAAAGAUCUUCACCUCUGCUUGUACAUCAACCCCAUAGAAAUUUUAACAUACAUGGGAACAUCUGCCGCUGUGAUUUGUGAAGCCAAUUGGG
rnacentral:misc_RNA from 1 species